GACGAAUGCUGGCUGCGUGCUUAACACAUGCAAGUCGAACGGUGAUGGAGGGCUUGCCCUCCGGAUCAGUGGCGGACGGGUGAGUAACACGUGGGCACCCUGCCCCUCACUCUGGGAUAACGCCGGGAAACCGGCGCUAAUACCGGAUACGACCAGGCGCGACAUCUCGCCUGGUGGAAAGAAUUUCGGUGAGAGAUGGGCCCGCGGCCUAUCAGCUUGUUGGUGGGGUAACGGCCCACCAAGGCGACGACGGGUAGCCGGCCUGAGAGGGCGACCGGCCACACUGGGACUGAGACACGGCCCAGACUCCUACGGGAGGCAGCAGUGGGGAAUAUUGCGCAAUGGGCGAAAGCCUGACGCAGCGACGCAGCGUGAGGGACGAAGGCCCUCGGGUUGUAAACCUCUUUCAGCGGGGACGAAGCGAAAGUGACGGUACCCGCAGAAGAAGCACCGGCUAACUACGUGCCAGCCGCCGCCGUAAUAC
rnacentral:rRNA from 1 species